CUUUGGUAGGAGUGACAGAUAGGAGCGGGAGUUAGAAAUUACUGUUGUGUCUGAUGUGAUAGUGUCAAUACGCAAUUUUGGUAAUAUGCAAAAAGCUUCGAGAUUAAAACGAGAGCUUGAAUUGAUGGUGAAGAGUCCACCAUCCGGUAUUUCAUGUACACUUAAGGAUGAUAACUUUAAUGUGCUCGACGCAAGCAUUGUUGGUUUGGAAGGAACAGCUUAUGAGGCCGGAGUUUUUAAAUUAGAAAUUCAGAUACCAGAAAAAUAUCCAUUUGAACCACCCCAAGUGAAGUUCCUAACACCCAUUUAUCAUCCAAAUAUUGAUUCUGGUGGUCGAAUAUGUCUGGACCUGUUGAAAGUUGGGAAAUGGAAAGCUACUAUUACAUUAUCAUACCUUCUGAUGAGCAUACGACUUCUAUUGGCUGAGCCAAAUCCUAGUGACCCUCUUGUGGCAGAAAUUGCUGAAGAAUUUUUAUUCAACAGACCAUUGUUUGAUAAGACAGCAAGAGAAUGGACCAAACGACACGCCUGCUUGAACUUGGAAAUGCCUUCGGAGAAUGCAGAAGUGAGUCAUUCAUGUGGUGUGCGGAGUGAACCAACGAAAAGAAAAUCUUGGCAAAUGGAAGAUCUUACCCAGGAGCCUAAUGCAUCAAAAUGUUUGAAAACCGAUUGAAUUUGUGUGUGUGUGUGUGUGUGUGUGUGAGAGAGAGAGAGAGAGAGAGAGAGAGAGAGAGAGAGAGAGAGAGAGAGAGAGAGAGGGAUAAUGGAUAUACUUCAUAACAGAAAAAUCUUGUUGUAAAUUGUGUUCUUUUUAUUCUUGAUUCCUGCCUUCAUAGUGCAUGAUACAGUCUUGCAUAGAUUUGCGUAAUUUUCAUUAGUUGUGCUCAUGCAGUGCGGAACAAGUCUUGAACAAUAGUAAAUCAAGAGGCUGUAAAUAAAUUUCAUGACAGUUACUAUUGUGAAAAGGUCUCUCCCAUUGAAAAUUUCUCAAUUGCAAAUCAUAUAGCAACAAAUAAAACAUUACUGUUGCAAGAUCCUUUGUACAUGAGGGCUAUUUGGAAAGUAAGUUCUGUUAAUUUAUAUCAAAAGAAACACUAGUACAUCAAGAAGUUUUUCUUGUUAUAAACAAUUAUAUUAGCUACAGAUAUUUUUAUACUAAUUGACUUCUACAUUAAGGUUCUUGUUAUACUUAGGAAAAAGUUUUGUUGUAGAAUUCUGCUGCCUGUGAGCUAAUAAAUCAGCACUGUACACAUGAUCGAACAAUUCCCAAUUGAAACGUUAAGCAACAUUUGUGUUCAUGCAGCAGUAUCUGGUCUAGCUUUAUCUUACACAAAUAAGACGACAGAGCUCAACAUCCCACCCCCUUCAUUUUUGCAUGGCUCUUUUGGCCUUUUUAGUGUUUCACUGUAAAUUUCGAGUUAUUGUGGUCCUCUUUCCAUAAAAUCAACUAAAACUACUUAUUUUGUGUCCCAAAAAUAGUUAUCGUCAGUGCUUGUGCGAAAAAUGUUUGGCGGCUCUUUGAAGGUUUGCAUGAUGAUCUAGUGUGUCCUCAGUCCAUUGAUUUCCCC
rnacentral:misc_RNA from 1 species